UCCUUUAUGGCUCAGUUUAUAGAGCGUGGUGCUUGCAAACGCCAGGAUCGUGGGUUAGAUUCCCUCUUUGGGCC
rnacentral:tRNA from 1 species